rnacentral:rRNA from 1 species
AUUGAACGCUGGCGGCAGGCCUAACACAUGCAAGUCGAACGAGUGGCGGACGGGUGAGUUAUGUCUGGGAAACUGCCUGAUGGAGGGGGAUAACUACUGGAAACGGUAGCUAAUACCGCAUACCAUCGGAUGUGCCCAGAUGGGAUUAGCUAGUAGGUGGGGUAACGGCUAACAUAGGCGACGAUACCUAGCUGGUCUGAGAGGAUGACCGACCACACUGGAACGGAGACACGGUCCAGACUCCUACGGGAGGCAGAAGAGGGGAUUAUUGCACAAGGGGCGCAAGCCUGCUGCAGCAAUGCCGCGUGUAUGAAGAAGGCCUUCGGGUUGUAAAGUACUUGCAGCGGGGAGGCGUUACCCGCAGAAGAAGCACCGGCUAACUCCGUGCCAGCAGCCGCGGUAAUAC